rnacentral:rRNA from 1 species
UGCGUAGGCGGUUCGUUAAGUCUGUUGUGAAAUCCCCGGGCUCAACCUGGGAAUGGCAAUGGAUACUGGCGAGCUAGAGUGUGAUAGAGGAUGGUGGAAUUCCCGGUGUAGCGGUGAAAUGCGUAGAGAUCGGGAGGAACAUCAGUGGCGAAGGCGGCCAUCUGGAUCAACACUGACGCUGAAGCACGAAAGCGUGGGGAGCAAACA